UACGUAGGCAGCGAGCGUUGUUCGGAGUUACUGGGCGUAAAGGGUGUGUAGGCGGUUUUCUAAGUUUGGUGUGAAAUCUCCCGGCUUAACCGGGAGGGUGCGCCGAAAACUGGGAGACUAGAGUGCGGGAUGGGAGAGUAGAAUUCCUGGUGUAGCGGUGAAAUGCGUAGAUAUCAGGAGGAAUACCGGUGGUGUAGACGGCUCUCUGGACCGCCACUGACGCUGAGACACGAAAGCGUGGGUAGCAAACAGG
rnacentral:rRNA from 1 species